UACGUAGGGGGCAAGCGUUGUCCGGAUUCAUUGGGCGUAAAGAGCGUGUAGGCGGCCAGGUAGGUCGGUUGUGAAAACUGGAGGCUCAACCUUCAGAGGUCGACCGAAACCAUCUGGCUAGAGUCCGGGAGAGGAGAGUGGAAUUCCUGGUGUAGCGGUGAAAUGCGUAGAGAUCGGGAGGAACAUCAGUGGCGAAGGCGGCCAUCUGGGACAACACUGACGCUGAAGCACGAAAGCGUGGGGAGCAAACAGG
rnacentral:rRNA from 1 species